rnacentral:tmRNA from 1 species
GGGGGCGAUAUGGGUUCGACGGGGGUGGGAAGUCAAAGUGGCAUGCCGGGGUCCUGCUGCCCCGUUAAAAAAGCAGGACUGCUUUAACUGCAGACAAUAACGAAUACGCCCUGGCUGCUUAGACAGCCAGCGUCUUGCCGGCCUUCUCCCGCGGGGUCGGACAAGGCGUCAUUCAGCGGGAUGGACCGAUUCCCCUGCCGGAGGAGAUGAGGUCGAGAUCCAAACCGGCUGGCCGAGCAAGACCCUGUCGUCGGGGGCUUCCGAGGCGAGACUCAAGCGGCGACUAAGCAUGUAGUCACUUCUGGCGGAAAGCCUUCGGACGGGGGUUCGAUUCCCCCCGCCUCCACCA